rnacentral:rRNA from 1 species
UAUAUAUGUAUAUUAAGGAAAAAAUUUUUUUGUAUUAUUUAUUAUAAUUUUUUUGAUUAUUGUUGUUUUUUUUUUGUAAAGUUUUAUUCUUGCUUUUUGAUAGUUUUUAUGAAUGUUAUAUAUACUUGUUUAUUUAUUAAAUAUACCUUUAGUAGUAUUUAUAAUUGGUUAUCAAUUUAUUUUGGAUCCAGUAAUUUUUUUUAGAUAAAGUAAAUCUCGUGCCAGCAACUGCGGUUAUACGAUAUUUUCUAGACUAUCUUAUUUUGGUGGCAGUUUUUAUAUUUUUAGAUUGUAAUUAUUUAUUUAUAUGUAUGGUGGAAUAUCAUUUUUUUUUAUAUUUCUUAUUAUUAUAUUUUCUGUUAUGGCUAAUUAUAUAAACUAGGAUUAGAUACCCUAUUAUUUUAGAUUUACCUUUUUUUCCAGGUUAGUAUAACUUUAAUGUUUGAAAUCUAAAGAAUUUGGCGGCAUUUUAUCUUUUUAGAGGAACCUGUUCUUUAAUUGAUGUUACACGAUUGGUUCAAUUUUAUAUAUUUGUUUGUAUAUUUCCGUUAUAAGGGAAUUUAUUGAUAAUAUUUCCAUAUUUUUUAAUUAUAAUUUAUUUCAGGUCAAGGUGCAGCUUAUUAUAGAAUUUGUAAUGGGUUACAAUAAUUUAAAUUAUAUGAAUUCUUAUUUUUGAUUUUAAGUUGAAGGUGGAUUUAUAAGUAAAUUUUAAUAAUUAUUAAAUUUGAAUUAGUUCUAAUUUGUGUACAUAUCGCCCGUCACUCUCAUUUUUUUUUGAGAUAAGUCGUAACAAAGUAGAUUUACUGGAAAGUGAAUCUGGAUU